AUACACAAAGUGAUUCUUCGACGUGGAUGCCCAUAUCGGAUACUGACAGAUCUUGGUUCAGAAUUCAAUAAUAAGUUUAACUUGUUUUUUUGUGAAAAAUUGGGAAUAGAACGUAGCUUCACCAGUCCGUACCACCCACAGACCAAUGGCUUGGCUGAGAACGCUAAUAGAUCCAUAAAAAGAGCACUGCGGAAGAUGGUUGAUGAAAGUGGGACUAACUGGGAUCAAUUUCUUGAUCCCAUUUUGUUUUCUUUGCGAACAAAAGCACACGCAACAACAAAAAUUUCACCUUUUCGUCUAAUGUUUACUGAAGAACCAGUGUUUCCAACAGACGUCCCAGAGAAUUACCCGAUCCCAGAUAUUAAUACAUUCGUGGAAGAGUUCUGCAAAGAGUACAGCAUAGAUAUGACGUCAAGACAUGAUGCUGACAUUGCACUGGCCCUAGGUAACAUUGCCAAAGCACAGGAGAAACAACAAAGACUUUAUGCUAAAAGAAAGAAAUCUAAAUACGGGGAAAUAGCAUUUGAUGUCGGGGACUCUGUUCUAUUACUGAACGCUAGAAAGAGAACCAGAAAAGGUGGAGUACUGGAAUCUAACUAUCGGGGACCUUACAAA